UCGGUUUCAGUUCCGUCUUUCUCCAUGCAAGUCGUUCCUACUCCAAACCGAACCGGUUUUUCCAAACGAUUCCAGUUCCUCCAAUUGAUAAGAGAUAAUGAUACAUAGAAGCUCUUCGGCAAUUUUAUGUAUGUAAAUAAGUUUAAUUGAUUCCUAGGCAUACUUAAAUGAACGUUUUCCAGAAAUUUCAAGCCUUUGUCUAAUCAUCAUCGAGUCGUAUAACCGCUCGUGGUGGUAUAAGCUUCUGUAAAAACCAAGUAGGUAAUUCUGUCGGCUCAUUUGGAUAUCAAUCAAUUUGAUGGAGUGAACUGCCACCCGUAAUCCAUAUCAAGAAUAUACUCUACACCAUGACUGAACCGAUAUCAGUGUACGACCUCACCUAUCCCAGCCCUAUCACUCUGAAAGAAAUCUCAUCCAUCGUAGUUGCUGUGGAAUUAUGGCGAGAAGAAAUCUGCGUUCAUCUCGAAAGUAAGCGUUUACACGAAUUGGAUUUCAAGAAAGAUACCAGGCUGGAAAAGGUCCAUUUCCCCAGAACGACCACUUUCAGGUAGGGGGGUGAAAGUGGUGUCAAUU